rnacentral:lncRNA from 1 species
UGGAUUUGGGCUUAACAAUUGUAAAAUAAAGCGUAUAGUUUUAUUUGUAUGUUAAGUUAAAAAAAUAUAUAUUUGCUUUUAAACAUAUAAAUUUAUUUGUACGUUAAGUACAAUAAUAAAUAUAUUUGCUUUUAAGCAUAUGAUUUUAUUUGUACAUCAUAAUAUUACUAUUUUAUUUAAUUUUUCUUUGAUGACAAUUUGUGCCAAGUUGUACCUAGUAAUAAGUGAUAAAUAAGAUCCUCAUGAGCUUAGUCGGUUUGUAAGAAUAUCGCAUUUUAUAAGGUUCAAACUUCGAACACUCCAUUAGUCACUAGCCUACUAAAAAAAAAAGUAAUAAGUAAGAUGAACGACACAUAAAUUGUUAUUAAUCUAUAUACGAAACAAAGUUUAACGUUUUUUACGAAUUUAUAAAAACAUCUAAAAAUCAUCAAUAAUGUGAUAAACAAAAAACACACUCUUCAAAUUGUAAUAGAAACCAUUGAAUUUUAAUUAUUUUCAAAUAUUUCUAAGAUACAUCAAUGUGUCUAACUCUUUAGCUCAUCCAAUUGAUCACUUAACCCC